AGUGAACGCUGGCGGUAGGCCUAACGCAUGCAAGUCGAACGGCAGCACAGGAGAGCUUGCUCUCUGGGUGGCGAGUGGCGGACGGGUGAGGAAUACAUCGGAAUCUACUCUGUCGUGGGGGAUAACGUAGGGAAACUUACGCUAAUACCGCACACGACCUACGGGUGAAAGCAGGGGACCUUCGGGCCUUGCGCGGUUGAAUGAGCCGAUGUCGGAUUAGCUAGUUGGCGGGGUAAAGGCCCUCCAAGGCGACGAUCCGUGGCUGGUCUGAGAGGAUGAUCAGCCACACUGGAACUGAGACACGGUCCAGACUCCUACGGGAGGCAGCAGUGGGGAAUAUUGGACAAUGGGCGCAAGCCUGAUCCAGCCAUACCGCGUGGGUGAAGAAGGCCUUCGGGUUGUAAAGCCCUUUUGUUGGGAAAGAAAUCCAGCUGGCUAAUACCCGGUUGGGAUGACGGUACCCAAGAAUAAGCACCGGCUAACUUCGUGCCAGCCGCCGCCGUAA
rnacentral:rRNA from 1 species